GAUGAACGCUGGCGGCGUGCCUAAUACAUGCAAGUCGAGCGAACAGACGAGGAGCUUGCUCCUCUGACGUUAGCGGCGGACGGGUGAGUAACACGUGGAUAACCUACCUAUAAGACUGGGAUAAUUUCGGGAAACCGGAUCUAAUACCGGAUAAUAUAUUGAACCGCAUGGUUCAAUAGUAAAAGACGGCUUUGCUGUCACUUAUAGAUGGAUCUGGGCCGCAUUAGCUAGUUGGUACGGUAACGGCUUACCAAGGCGACGAUGCGUAGCCGACCUGAGAGGGUGAUCGGCCACACGGGAACUGAGACACGGUCCAGACGCCUACGGGAGGGAGCAGUAGGGAAUCUUACGCAAUGGGCGAAAGCAUGACGGAGCAACGCCGCGUGAGUGAUGAAGGUCUUCGGAUCGUAAAACUCUGUUAUUAGGGAAGAACAAAUGUGUAAGUAACUAUGCACGUCUUGACGGUACCUAAUCAGAAAGCCACGGCUAACUACGUG
rnacentral:rRNA from 1 species